CAGAGGAUGAAAUUACAGUCCCCAGUCAUCCUACUCCUGAGGGAACGAAUUGCUUUCUGAUUGAUUAGCUCUGUGUCGUGAUUCCCGACUCUUAGAGUACAGAUGGAUACCAAGGACGUCUCUGCACUGACCAGGGAAGAGACACAGGAAAACAUCAGCAGGAUACAUUGUUCUGUGUUCCAAUGAGUGAGCAGGAUUUGGGACACAACCUCUGAGAAGUGGACACUGGGCCAUCCUUGAUCCCUGUGGCUGAUCAGCCUGAGACCUCAGGAACUCAUGAACUCACUGGGAACACAGAUUUUCUCUUCUGAUCAACAAGGAGAUGGAGUCCAUCCACCGAGCUGUCUGCAUGUCUGGAAGGGGACUGUCCAU
rnacentral:lncRNA from 1 species